CUUUUAAUCAGUAUGCUCCUCCCCCGGCAUGGCAGUGACCAGCCACAAGGGGCAACACUGUUUCAUAACCAACAUUGGUGCCAUUCAGACUCAGAUACACCACUGAGCACGGAGGACCUGCUGUGACUGCUGCUGCCUCUUCCCCCAUCCAGGGAGACCACGCGCAUCCCUUGCCGCCUCUGCUAGACCUCCACACUGCUACCACCAUGGUUCUUCACCACAUCAUGGGACAAAGGGGAGGAUACAUUGGCAGAUAGGAGCGGGCACCAGUAAACCUGGCCACAUAACAGAGUUGCGGGAACUUCUGCCAGUGAACGGACAACACGCUGCUCCGACGGCAUGGUCACUGCCCACGGGGCAGCGCCACAGCAUAACAACCAGCCAGGAGGGGCAGCGCUGCAGCAUAACUACCACUGGUGCCGUGACUCGGAUACACCACCAAACACCAAGGACCCGCUGUAACUACUGCUGCCCUUCCCCCAUCCAGCGAGACCGUGAGACUUCGAGCGUGCGCGCAUCCCUUGCUGCCUCCGCUGGACCCCCACCACUACCGCCAUGAUUCUUC